rnacentral:tRNA from 1 species
GCACUAGUAGCUCAGCAUCCCAGAGCGUCGGCCUUGUAAGUCGAACGUCGGAGGUUAGAAUCCUCCCUUGUGCU